AUUCCAGCUCCAGUAGCGUAUAUUAAUGUUGUUGCAGUUAAAAAGCUCGUAGUUGGAUUUCUGACUUGACGCGCCUGGCCCGCCUUGCAUUUCGCGGGUGAGUGCCGGAGCGCGUCGGUCAUCCUUCUAGAGAACGGCGCUACCCUUCACUGGGUCGGCGUCGCAAUCUAGAUCUUUUACUUUGAAAAAAUUAGAGUGUUCAAGGCAGGCUCGCGCUGUGAAUACAUUAGCAUGGAAUAAUAAUCUAGGACUUUGUUCCUAUUUUGUUGGUUUCUAGGAAUUAGGUAAUGAUUGAUAGGGAUAGUUGGGGGUGCUAGUAUUCAGCGGCCAGAGGCGAAAUUCUUGGAUUCGCUGAAGACUAACUUAUGCGAAAGCAUUCACCAAGGAUGUCUUCAUUA
rnacentral:rRNA from 1 species